rnacentral:ribozyme from 1 species
UUGGGAGCCUGACCGUCAUUUCUAGCAUAACAACAUCCAUGUGGUAUCACAGUGGAACGGCUGCGUUUGGCUCUCUUAUCAUAGCGAUCAUCA